GCGGAAGUAGUUCAGUGGUAGAACAUCACCUUGCCAUGGUGGGGGUCGCGGGUUCGAAUUCCGUCUUCCGCU
rnacentral:tRNA from 1 species